CGUCAGUCGUCGCCAUCUCGUCUCUUCUGCAAGCUUUGUGUACUUAGAGUAGGUGUCAUUUGCUACCGACACUCGGCACGCUGUGCACAGCCGCCUCCGCCGCCUCGCACCCCAGGCACCCCGGCGCCACCCCGCGGGCUGCCGGCGCCGAAAAAAGGGCCGCCGGCCCCGAUGAAGCUUUCGUGGGCUCAAGUGGGGCCCCUUGAGGCUGCGUGACGUCAAUCCGUGGCGCCCCACCACCGCUGCCAUUGUUGGGCAACAAUGCUGACCAUUGUUGCCGCCUCCAGUGCUGUUUCCAGAGAUGUGCGCCAGAAGCUGAAAUCUCGCUUGCUGACUUAUGUAGAACCCCCUGUACGUAUACUGAAUGUAUCCUGAGUGUCAUUCAUAUCCGGUAUACCUUCAGUAUACGUAACAGGAGGCUACACUGAUCACCAUUGAACGCCGGCCGCGCACUCAUCUGCUGAUCAGAAUGCAGCGCGGCGUCUCUUCACUGCCUCUUCGCACACUCAGAGUCCCUCUUCUUGCUGCAAACGCGAGCGGCCGCUCACACGGAAUAUCAAACUACUACCUACCAACACUGUGAGGAAUGUGAAAAUCACUCAUGUUGAUCCAAACCAAUAAAAUGCUUGAUAAAUUACACUGAUAUGUACACGAAACUCUCUCUUUGGGAAAUUUAUGUGGUUUAUCUGGCUGCAAAUAAAUACAUACAUUGAUUUUAUACCUCAUAUACUUGUAUUGCUGGGCAAAUAAAAUUAAAUUUACAACCGUGCAUGCGAACGUACACGAACUGUCAAUAAUUCAAUGUGUUAUUGUUCAAGUGUAGGCAAAUAAAAAUACAGCUGGUAUUUAACAACA